rnacentral:rRNA from 1 species
CAGUAGCCACGGGAAUACAUAGGUGGCAAGCGUUGUCCGGAAUUAUUGGGCGUAAAGGGCUCGCAGGCGGUUUCUUAAGUCUGAUGUGAAAGCCCCCGGCUCAACCGGGGAGGGUCAUUGGAAACUGGGAAACUUGAGUGCAGAAGAGGAGAGUGGAAUUCCACGUGUAGCGGUGAAAUGCGUAGAGAUGUGGGGGAACACCAGUGGCGAAGGCGACUCUCUGGUCUGUAACUGACGCUGAGGAGCGAAAGCGUGGGGAGCGAACAGGAUUAGAUACCCCAGUAGUCCCUGUCUCUUAUAC